GACGAACGCUGGCGGCGUGCUUAACACAUGCAAGUCGAACGGAAAGGCCCUGCUUUUGUGGGGUGCUCGAGUGGCGAACGGGUGAGUAACACGUGAGUAACCUGCCCUUGACUUUGGGAUAACUUCAGGAAACUGGGGCUAAUACCGGAUAGGAGCUCCUGCUGCAUGGUGGGGGUUGGAAAGUUUCGGCGGUUGGGGAUGGACUCGCGGCUUAUCAGCUUGUUGGUGGGGUAGUGGCUUACCAAGGCUUUGACGGGUAGCCGGCCUGAGAGGGUGGCCGGAGGCAGGGGGAAUGAGGGAGGGACGGGAGGAAGAAGGGAGCGAGCAGGGGGGGAGGGGGGAGACGGGGGGGAAGCUGGAGGCCGUGACGGCGUGUGAGGGAGGAUGGGGGUGGGGAAGGAAAACGGAGGCGCCGGUGAAGAAGGGGGAGGGACGGGAAGGGAUAAAGAAGCAAGCGCUAACCACGUC
rnacentral:rRNA from 1 species